rnacentral:rRNA from 1 species
ACAGCAGCCGCCGCGGUAAUACGUAGGUGGCAAGCGUUGUCCGGAAUUAUUGGGCGUAAAGGGCUCGCAGGCGGUUUCUUAAGUCUGAUGUGAAAGCCCCCGGCUCAACCGGGGAGGGUCAUUGGAAACUGGGAAACUUGAGUGCAGAAGAGGAGAGUGGAAUUCCACGUGUAGCGGUGAAAUGCGUUGAGAUCGGAAAGAACACCAACGACGAAGGCACUCUGCUGGGCCGACACUGACACUGAGAGACGAAAGCUAGGGGAGCAAAUGGGAUUAGAUACCCGCGUAGUCCCUGUCUCUUAUAC